AUAUAUUCCUAACAUAGUCUGAAUAUUAAAAUGAAACAUAACAACUACAAUUAACUUGUUGCAUCUCUCAGAGAAGAGUGACAAUCACCUGCACCAACCACAUUCAAAGACUUACUGAUUACACUGUUUUAAUUUAUAUUGAUAAAAAAUAUAUUAAUUAUUGGCAAAAUUAUGUUAAUCAAAAAUCAGUUUCAACUCUUACUAUACUCAUAUUUAUAUACAAACCCAGCCUAUAGAAAGAAAGCAUGUUUUACAUCAGCCCACGUGAUCAAUGUUGCACACUGCAGUGACACACCUACCUGUAACUCUUCAUAUCAGUGUAAACACUGACAGAAUAAAGACACUCUUAGUUUUAGAACAUGGCUAUCACCAGACACAGUCUGCUCAGCUUGUUGGUAUCUGUGCUCUGGAUAAAAGGUGGUGCUGAUGGAAGUGAUGUCCAGCAGACACUCAGUUUGUGGGACAGGCAGGGUCAAAGUGCAACAAUGCAGUGUAAUCACACGAAGGGUAGUGACUAUCUCUGGAUGUACUGGUUCAGACAGCUACCUGGAGAAACCAUGACACUAAUUGUGUUUGCAACAACGGGCAAAAAAGAUAAUGAGCAUGACUAUGGAGAUUUCGACACAGAGAAAUUUUCAGCCAGCAAGACUGUUGCUGAGACUGGGACAUUCACAGUGAACAAACUGGAGCCAAAAGACCAAGGAUGGUAUUUCUGUGCCGUGAGUAAACACAAUGAUACAAACAGAGCAGAGAGCUGAACAAAAACCUCUGGGCAAAGUUCCCAUUACCUGCUCUGCUGUAGGGAAACCUCAAGUACAACCACACACAGUCUCACUAUAAUCUGAUGCACUCAAAUGUGUCUGCAGUAACGUCAGACCUCCGUCACUCACACCAGUAGAUUGUGGUCUUCGAUUUUAU